GAGUGAUUAAACUCUAUCUGUCACGUGACGUGCCAUAGACCUUCGAUCCGUUUUAUAUUCAUAUCAGGUUCAAAGAUGUAAGUUGUAUUUGUAGUAAAAUCAUGGUAACCACGACACGUACAAUAGUAACAAAUGAAAUUUGAAGUUAAAACCCAGGAACGGGACAUUUACCAUGUUUUUUUACCACAGUAACUGUAGUUUUACUAUGGUAUAGUAAUAGCACAAUAAUCACCAAACUAACUAUGGUUGUACAACUGUAAUGGUAGUGUUUUGAUGUGCUUUUAUAUGACAGAUAUCACAGUAAUCACAUUUACUGCACCAUGUUUUUAAUACCUUUUUUUAUGUAAAUAAAAAGUAAAUAAUUUUAACUUCAAAUUUCAUUUGUUACUAUUGUACGUGUCGUGGUUACCAUGAUUUUACUACAAAUACAACUUACAUCUUUGAACCUGAUAUGAAUAUAAAACGGAUCGAAGGUCUAUGGCACGUCACGUGACAGAUAGAGUUUAAUCACUCUAGUUAGCAGCUGUCUUCAUUUAGUUAAACGCAAUGAAACUCAAAGACAGCCUCGGAUGACCGAUAUAAUACAGCGAGGAAACAUACAGCGCUAUUCUGAUUAAUAAAGAAGACGGAAUACAUUUUUAUAACAGGCAUUAAAUCAGCGUAUUUACGACUACUCACCCAACCUGUGGCACAUGUAAACUGAUGGCA
ensembl:lncRNA